CUCCAGUCUGCUUUUUUGUUGAGUGAAGAUUCUGCUCCCUUCCAGCUUGUGCUUUGCCAAGUCCAUUAUCCACCUUGGAUGGCAGUUUGCAAACUGCAGCCACCCGUAAUCCCAAGAUGUUGCUGCUGGAUUUUUCCAGGUUCUCAUCACUGGUGAGCACUUAGAGAACAUCUGCAAACAGCAGGAGGGGCUGGCACAGUGUGUUCCACUGGCAGAUGACAUCUGUAACACUGGCACAUCCAACUGGCACAGGAGAGCUGCUCUGAGCUCCUGGGCAGCAUCCAGAGAGGGGAGUUUGGAGAGAUCACCUCUAAAAUUCAGCCAGGGUGCCACAAGGAGAAAGGAAAUCCUGAAGAGAGCUGGCCUGCAGCAAGGUACAGAACAGAACUAUUUAAAUCAAGAAAUAUCUCUCCUUUCUUGUCUUGGAGCUGGCUGUGUCAGUCUUCAGUUUUCAGUGGGGAAAAAUCCCAGCCCAUGGAAUUUGUGGCUUUCUAAACCAUUCCUUUGUGUGGUGACUUCACAUCAGAGCAGAUCCUGCUUCUCCAGAGGGGUGGGAGCAGGGAUUGCUGGUCCACAGGAAAUUUUGGGUUGUUGUGGCCUUGGCUGUCAGAGUGUGGGGGUUUGUUGGCCAUAAUUCCUGUUCCAAGCCAAAAAAAGCACUCACGUGAGGUUUGUUGUGACUGCCUUUGGCUCUGGGAUGGGUUUCCACCUUCCAAGCAAACAUCCAACCAUUCUGCUGCCUCAUUCUUGUGGAUGCUCAUUGUAAAGCAAAGUCCCAGCUUUAACACCCCAAAGCUCUUUGCUAAGUGGAGAAUUGUUCUCAGGCUGAGGAAUUAAUAGCAAAGUUUCCCUGACAGAAAGAGCCAGGCAUUCAUCCCACAGCAAUUGUUCCCAGAACUGGCAAACACAAAUUAAAGCACUUUGCUGCUGCAUUUCUUUUUUUCUGUGAAGGUCUUUAUUUAUAACAUUUGCUGUUUAGGUUUGAAAUCUCAGCCCUGUAUAUGGUUACACACAAAUUACACAUGAAAACAAAAUGUGGCUGGAGACAAGAAUGAACAUUAUCACCAAGAGAAAUGAUUGUUUUCAGAAAUACAUCCAAA
rnacentral:lncRNA from 1 species